GGGGCUGUAGCUCAGUGGCAGAGCGCUUGCCUAGCAUGCAUGAGGCACUAGGUUUAAUCCUCACCACCA
rnacentral:tRNA from 1 species